rnacentral:rRNA from 1 species
AGAUUGAACGCUGGCGGCAGGCCUAACACAUGCAAGUCGAGCGGUAGAGGGGUGCUUGCAUCUCUUGAGAGCGGCGGACGGGUGAGUAAUGCCUAGGAAUCUGCCUAGUGGUGGGGGAUAACGUUCGGAAACGGACGCUAAUACCGCAUACGUCCUACGGGAGAAAGCGGGGGACCUUCGGGCCUCGCGCCAUUAGAUGAGCCUAGGUCGGAUUAGCUAGUUGGUGAGGUAAUGGCUCACCAAGGCGACGAUCCGUAACUGGUCUGAGAGGAUGAUCAGUCACACUGGAACUGAGACACGGUCCAGACUCCGUACGGGAGCAGCA